rnacentral:rRNA from 1 species
AAGCGACCCCAGUCAGACGGACC